UAUACAUAUGUAACUUGGUUGGCUGCUCCCUGGUGGGUUCUUUAUGUAUGAAGCCAUGUCAUCAGGCCCGUGUGACUGAGCUUUGUACCUUACAGAAGUUGUUCAGACUGUGGUUCAGAUCAUCUGCAUUUUAUUCCUGAGACAACUGUAAAAUUAAGUGGCUGCGUAUUUCUCGUUCACACAGUGGCUGCAGGCAUAUUACAUGCACAUCCGGCCAAGAGCGAUCAGGAGUGACCUGAACUGUGACAGAUUUUUUCCUUUCGUCAGCUGGCACGGCUUUGCUCACAGUUUCAAACGACCUUGGUGUGCUCCACAAAGCUUAUGAAAAAAGCUGGAGAGAGUGCACACUCGAAAGCUUUUUAAGAGCCACCACUCGUCAGGCAAGAAGUGCGGCAGAGUCAGCAGCAGCUAACCCGAAGGACACGGAGAAGGAGGCCGUGUCCUUUCACCUGGCCUAUGACACUGCCGUGGCCAGACUGCGCAGAGUACCGACGCCACAGGCUGUAGCCGCCACGGCUACAUUGCUGGACUCCUUGGCAGGCUGUGACACCGACCGGUAUCCUGGUCCGUCAGUCACAAAGUCUUUUGACUUUUCAGACUUUUUAAAGAUGUUUCCGGCGCCGGCAGACAGCAAACCACCCACCAAACAGGACGGGUUAAAGGCAGGGUUUCCGGGGGAUCGUGUCUUCUACGACAAGUGGCGUGCCUCCCAAAAGGCCAAAAGAAUGGAACUGCUGCUAUGCAAGUACUCUGAUCCAUAAAUACCACAUUGACUAACAAAAUGAAUAAAUAUUUACUUUGACAAUUGAGCAAAACUAUGGUCUCCACCCACAAGCUCAAGUCAUUUCUGUUGUGAUUUGUUCCUGUCGAUAACUGCCGUGUGACUGCAGUCGUUUUAUUCUUCGUUCUAGUGUCCUUUAUCCGAAAACCACGAGAAAGCAGGGUGAAAUUCAGGAUUGUGAAGGAGGGGUGAAAGAACAACUGUCCGAAGCCAGCGGACGUUUUGGCGGCAUGGAAACCAGCCACCAGACUCGUCAUCGAGACUGAUGAGGACCUCUGCCAGAACACGUCUCAGCAGACGUGGAAAGGCCUGGCCCUCAAAGGUUUUGGUGGAGAGAAAGGGCUAGGAGUUGUUGCAACCCAACCCUUUUCCAAGGGUGACAUCGUGUGUGAUGACCGUGGGAAGGUAAUCACAGCGGCCCAGGGAAAAGUCAUGAUGCAGAAUCUACAGGAUGAAGCACCAGAGUACCUGUUUUUCUUCAGGACCGGGCAGAGGCAUCUCCGCAUCGACGCCCAGACUUUUCCCUGUGAAUGCCACCCCUGUGCAGACACUGUGGGCAGAAGACUGAAGCAUUCAUCCAAGCAAGCCGACCUGUGUUCUAAAUAAAAACAGCUUUUUUUACUUAAAUAUACUUGCCUAAAACGUUUUUUUUUUUUGGUAUCAGUAUCCUGCCUUCCUGACCAAUCAUUAAUAAAGUUUAU